UACGAAGGGGGCUAGCGUUGUUCGGAAUCACUGGGCGUAAAGGGCGCGUAGGCGGCUUGAUAAGUCGGGGGUGAAAGCCUGUGGCUCAACCACGGAAUUGCCUUCGAUACUGUCGAGCUUGAGACCGGAAGAGGUAAGUGGAACUGCGAGUGUAGAGGUGAAAUUCGUAGAUAUUCGCAAGAACACCAGUGGCGAAGGCGGCUUACUGGUCCGGUUCUGACGCUGAGGCGCGAAAGCGUGGGGAGCAAACAGG
rnacentral:rRNA from 1 species